rnacentral:rRNA from 1 species
UACGUAGGGUGCAAGCGUUGUCCGGAAUUAUUGGGCGUAAAGAGCUUGUAGGCGGUUUGUCGCGUCUGCUGUGAAAUUUCGGGGCUCAACCCCGAACUUGCAGUGGGUACGGGCAGACUAGAGUGUGGUAGGGGAGACUGGAAUUCCUGGUGUAGCGGUGAAAUGCGCAGAUAUCAGGAGGAACACCGAUGGGCGAAGGCAGGUCUCUGGGCCACUACUGACGCUGAGAAGCGAAAGCAUGGGGAGCGAACAGGAUUAGACUACCUUGUAG